rnacentral:rRNA from 1 species
GUUUAUGACCUGCCACCCUGAACAAGCCAGAUGUCUGAUCUCGGAAGCUAAGAAGGGUCGGGCCUGGUUAGUACUUGGAUGGGAGACCACCGAGGAAGACCAGGUGCUGUAGGCA